rnacentral:lncRNA from 1 species
UUGCCGCCUCUCCCGCCCACAGCAGUAUUAGACACCACCCCAACGACCCUCCAAGUCAGCAUGCUGGAACGCCAAGCACCUUCGUCCCGUUAUGCUUUCGCUACCUCGCCACACCGCACCCUAUUCGCCACUUGCGUUUGAUUGACGUUUAACUGCCGCUGCUGGGGUUGUUAGAUAGGAUGAACAGUCAAUUGGGCCUGUACGGCUAGCAACCGAAUUGGUUGUAGGUUCCCCCCACAGUAAACUAACCCUUCCCAAGCACCGACGUACCCAAGCC